UUUCGUUAAGAUUAAGUUUCCAAUUAUUAUGUGAAAUGAACAAUAUGUUUCUAAUUACUAUAUAAAUAUUCAUUGUAUGUAUUCAUUGCAUAAAUAAUGCAGUCUUGAUUGAAAGAAUUACAGGUAGUCGUUAUUUAAUUUUCAUAGUUGUGGGUGUUUGAAUGUGAAUCCUUUUUAAUUUUCAAAUUUCAAAUUAGUUGAAACAGAGAACAGUAGUGAGAGAGAAAGAGAGAGCGAGCAGUGAUUUUGCUUCUCAAGUUCAUCUAUGUAUCAUAUUUGAAAUAAAUUUUUAAAUAAUUAGAGAAUUCUCUGCAAUUCAGUUAUACGCGAUAUUAAUGAUAUUGAUGUUUUGUUUUUAAAAUAUGCAUGAAUGAGCAUCUUAUCUUCAGUGUUAUAAAUAUAUAGGUUCAGACAUUAAGCUAUGCGACGGAAAACUAAUCCGCUGUUAAAGUUUAUGAGCUAAUUAUCUAAUAUUCCUAAAAAGCGCUCAAAGAUUUCAUCGUUAAAUUAGAUAAUACGAGUAAAAUUCAACGUUGGCCGUAGAAACGGGUCUCGUGGACAUUGGACAUUUCAGGAACUACGUGCUGGCAAAUAAAGUGUCAAUGGAGGAACAAUUCUCUUGAGAACUUUUAUUUCGUGUACUUUCCUAAUAAAUAAAUUUACGAACUCUCUUAAUUUUCCACAUUUCCAUUAAAAAAUAAUAAAGUAUAUUUCUCUACUAUUUAUAAGAACAGAAUAUUUUUGAUGCAAUUAGUAUGGAUUUAGAUGUUUGCGAAUAUAUUUCCCAUAUUAAUAAAACUGUUUGCCGGAGGAUAAAUAUUUAAUUAACCUGAAUUGAAAUGUUUUCGUAUUUUAACACAACGAUUUGUAACGUUUACCUGAAUAUGCAUAGAUGAUUAUAAUUAUAUUGAUAGACCGAAAAGAAAUACGUAUACGUGCAGUCACGUUUCUGUUUAAAUAAAAGUCAACAGGAAUUUUGCGAAAAUCAUAUACGUAUUUUUAGCAAUUAUGAAAACGAUAAAUCUAAAAGUCAUGAAAAGAACGGAGUUUGACAGUUCCAGUGUCUCAUGUCUCUUUCUCGAAACAAGUUAAUUUGUCGCAAAAUAAUUCAAUUCUAGAUAUAUUGCUGCGACAAUCAAGCUGUCAACGAUAAUGAUCUCUAAGGUACCGACGAAUCUCUUGUAACAAUAGCGGUUACCGACCUACAUAGUUGUAAGCCGUGGAAGAGGGCGUAAACUUGUAUAGCUAGAAAUUAAUCCCGGUGUGUGUGAUCGUACGACAAUCAUUGUUCCACCGGAUGUUAUUUAUAAAUACGAACGUGUGACGAGAAAUUUGUAUAGAAAGUAUGCCACUCUCGUUUGCUCUUUUAUUGAAACAUUGAGUUAGCCUGCGUACUAGUACGUAUUGAGUUGCCGGAUAUAUCUAAAACCCGUUCUACCAUGAAUCAUAAAUUUUAUUCGGUUAAAGUUCGUUUUGGAGCACCAUUUUCUUUUAAACUUUGUUUGCAGCUUCUGAUAGCACUCGAUGAAUGAAGACGAAGUAUAACAGUUUCGAGUCCAGCAAUGCGUUGGUUUAGAAGCUACAGCCGAUAGAUGAAUCGAUUUGGUAAAUAUCAAUUUGAGCAAGGAUUGGGCAAGGUGUUGACAGAAAGUAACGAUGUAUAAGAUAGAGUAAGCUAUACAAAUAGAUAGUAGACUAAAUUUACCAAACUUCAACAACGCAUGACUUUCGAACCAAUGGAUUUGCUUCUAUUCGUCAAUUACUAUCAGAUUAUGCAAAAAAAUUUUUAAAAAAUGUGGUGCUUCAAAUCGAAGUUUAUCCUUUAUUCCGAUAUUUUGCAAUAAUAUAAUUAAGCCAAACAAAUGUGCGUCAUUCCGUUCAAUAAUUUCCGCUAACAGUUGGGUAGUGCCGUUAUUCCAAUCGUGUAGAAUCGUUGUUGUUUCUGAAGAAAGGCGUGACCUCAGAAAGAUUCGUGGAUUUAUCCGACAACUCAAUAUAUUAACGUGAAACACGAAUGAGAUCGUAUAACGGUACGAUUUGUGGAGUAAUACUUUUCUUUAGAAUUUUAUACUCAAUUGCUGAAUUUCAUAGCCAAGAAUGAUGACGAAUUUGCACGUUUACACGUGCACAAACCAUACAAUUUUUUGGAUGAAAUGCUAGAACAUAGAAAUUCUCGCGUGUCUACUACGCCACACGUAUGAACUAUGAAAAUUCGAUUUACGUACCAGUAUAUCGACAUUCGAAUUCGACGCGCAACAUUACAAAUAUCGGACCUCGAACGAGUCUGCAACGUUUCAGAUUUGACGAACGGUGUACACUCUCACGGGUUUGACGCAUACUUUCAUAAACUUUCAAGUCGAUCACGGUCGCGCGAUCGCAUGCCUAUAGAUGAAUAAUUUUCAACGAGAUUCAGUGUUCAGGUUCGUGUACAAUGGCUGCGAUCGUUGCUCGUAUAUUACGGUUUCAUGUGUUUCCGUCUGCACCAGGUUUUGAACUCGAACUGUAACUGCUGAUAAACUAGCGCUGGAAAAAGCCGCACGUGUCGUGUUUGGCACAAUGUUUGGCGAGCACAUUCGCGUUCGAUUCUCGCACAGAUAUGAAGAUAGCGCGUGAGCAUAUCGAGAAAGCGAUAUAAAGUAGCGGGCAAAAAGUAGUUUAAGUAUAAGUGGUACAAUAAACACCAUAAUCAUACAAAACAGAUUGUAUUUGAUAAGAGCACAAAUAUAGUACGAUAUAUGUUAUAUACUCUUGAGAAAUAUCUUACACAAAAAUUACUAAUGUGUGGAUAUACACAUAUAAAUUAUUUAGUAAACUUCAAACUUUUCUUGUUCGCUACUGUAAAAUUCUCGACUCGAACUCUUCUAGUAAAUAUGCAAAUGCAACAGCAAUCAACGAGCGACAUCGGUGUGCAUGCAUGAUUAGACAUGGACAAAAGGGUCUCUAUGCAACGUUCUCUUUCUAUCGUCACAUCGUAUCCACUUACAUGGUAACUGGUAUGACUGGUGUAUUUUAUAUUGUAUAUUUUAUAGCGAUUUUCGAGAAUCGAGGAUAGUGCAAAGAUAAAGUUAAUUAUUUUAAACAAUUGGAACCGAGAAACGUUAAUUCAGAAGUCGACAUUCGCAUUUAACGAGCUACGAUUUUAGAGAGUCAAGUACGCUAUACAUUGGCGUAUAAAGGAAAUCUAGUAACUUAAUGAUGUAAAAAAAGAUAAGGAUUUAUGCGGGUAUUGGUUGAUUUAGUAGGUAGAUUUCUUCGAGCUAGUUUUCAUCGAAUUAAAAUAUGUAAUUCGAAUGGCGAUGUAGCUUGACAAGUUUCGAAACUCGAUUUCCUCGAAAAUGAAAUGUUAUGCUUGAUUUUUGUAUUAUUUUGAACUGGUAUACUGGUUUACCAAGAACUUAGAUCCAUGAUAUUAUAUUUUUGUAUGAUACUUAUUCAAUGUAUCAAAUAUCAGUGUGCCAUAAAUUCUGACCUGCUUGUAUUAAUUACAUAAUUCUGAUAUUUUUUUGUACGUAGCCUGUAUUGAGUUCGAUUGUUAAACAAUAUUGAAGGAUGUUAAUUUCUAGGUCAAUCGUUUUUCUUUUUUUAAAUUUGGCAUUAGUCCAAGAGGAAACGAGUUGGUGGCAGUUUUAGUUACAGAUCGAUGUCUUUUUUUUGCUAUCACUGAUAUUAAAGUGCGAAUCAUUGUGAGAUAGUUUUACAUAGAAAUUUAUGCUUCCAAUAAGAAGAUCAAUCGAUAAGCAAAAUUGUUUACGUAUUAUAAAAUAAGAAGCAGAAUGUGAUAUUUAAUAUUACGUAUCGUUGAAACGACGUUCUGAUCUUACUUUACCAUUUCUCCUCCUACCUAAGAAUUUCUUAUGACAAAUAAACAAUAGUAUUUUAAAAAUAGAAUAGAAAAUGCAUGCAAUGAAGUUUCAUAAACAAAAAGGAUAAGAAUGGACUUAAAUUUUUUUGGGAAAAUAAUUCGUGUAUCUUAUAAAAAUAUAAAUAUCCUAUAGGGUAAUAUUCGAUGAAUUAAAAGCUUUCAAAGAGUAGAACAAAAGUUAGUUAGAAACUAGUUAAAUAGUUCUUGCCAAACCAAUCAGGAAUUUGUUUUCAAAAAUGUCUUUAUUAUUAAAUAGGGAAUUAUUAAAUAGGGGAACGUUUAAUUUCAUUGCACUGCAGGAGACGUUGUAACGUCGUACAAAGAGGUAAAUAUCUAUUCGUCAAUUAUUUAGAGCUUAAUAGGCCCGGAGAAUUGCAUUGCGAGAUUAGUUGGACAUGUUACGCGUCAUACCAGUAACAGGGGAUCAAAUACAGAUGACAUCAGAUCCGAGAAACCCAAUAAACACGAUAUACAACAUAGUAUAGAUCACGGUUCAGAUUAUCUCGGAUUCGUAGAACAUAAUACGAACGACCUCAAAGUGCAUGAGAUGCGAUAUUGACGAUUAAAAAGUAGUAAAGCACUGCACAGAUGAUUUAACAUAUAUAGGCAGAAUACGAUACAGAUUGUAUCAAAUAGGUAGAAUCACGUUUUUAUUAGCCUAAGAUUUGUACAAAUCGAUUUAUCCUACUAUACAAUGAAAUUUUAACUGAUAAAUUGAUAUAUAUUUAAUAUAAUUGAAAUGAGAAUCCAUAAUUUCAGUUCUACGAACUGUUUGUCCUCUGAUGGAUUCAAAUAAAUUAGGUUUUACCGUAGAUGAUAUUUGGUGGGCGGGCAAAACAGCAUAAAUCAAAUUUUUGUCAAAAUAUUGGGAUAAUUACGCUGAUAUACAUAAAUAUAUUCGAAGUGUAUUUAAAAAGUAAUUGGUCUGUUUUUAUAAAAAUAUUUACAUUUCAUUUAAUGAAAAAUGAACAACGUUCCCUUCGAAAUAGUUCUCUUGAGAAAUUAUACACCGCCGUAGGCGGCUGUUCUUUCUCCUGAAAGCAGUGCUGGAAUUCUUCUAUCGAAACUGCUUUUAGUUGGUCGGUUACAGCCCUUUCGAUGUUGUUCAUGGCUGCAAAAAGAUGUCUCUUAAGAUGGCUUUUGAUUUUUGAGAAAAGGGAAAAGUGACAGGGACUCGAAAGAAUGACACUUGCAACCGUAAGAAUACGUUUGCUGGUCAAAAACUCGUUUAGAGAGUGCAGUGUAAGACGCUGCUCGAUGUGUUGCUGUCCUUUUACAUAACGCGUUACCGAAACACACUUUUAUAAAAGUCGCCGCGAAAUCUCUCGCGUUAGCUAAAUCGAGUUGAAAUUAAUGACGAUAGAGAUAUACGUCUGAAAUAAUAUUGCAGCAUUGGUACAAUGUUGAAGAUUUCCGAGAAUCAAAAUCUAUUUCAUUACUGUUUACCAAUGUUUGUACAUAUAUAAUAAUACGUAUUCUAUAUCGCUGUCCUUUACUUAUGAUUCUAAUAGUACAAGCCAAUUUCACUUCUUUCCCGCUCUUUUAGUUGAUAUUUUAAUAUUAUAAUAUAUGUCAAAAAAUACAGCGUAAAGGUAGGAAAAUUAAAAACAGUACAAGUUGAAUUGUACUAUGUUGUUCAUGUCCAUCAGCGAUAUAAAAUACACCUUGAGUUCUUUGUUCUAGCACUCUACCAUUUCAACAUGGAAGAAAAGUACAUAACAACUAAUUUAAGUACAUAGUUUCGUAAUUAAAUUACACCUUAGGAAUUUAUAAAACUCGCGAUAUUCUCGCUUCAUGAGAAAUCAAAUAGCGUUAUCGGCGGAAGCGGAGCAUAAAAAAACAUGUGUUUUGUAUGUCGAAAUAAUUCGAGACGAGAAUGGUGCUUAUAAAUUAUAAAUUAUCACGUUUAUGUCGACGAUGUCGAUACCAAUUGAUCGCACUCAAAUCCAUUUGGCAAGCUCCGUUACAUUUCUAACAUCGUCUCAAGUUACUAUUUUGACAUAUGGUUUGACGUAUGAUUUCUUAUGCUUGAUUCAAUCCGCGAUAACUGAUAACGUUAUUUUAUUUUUAUCAACUAUGUGUCCAAUAUGUUGUAAAGACACUCGCUUAUGAUGUAUUACAUUUCAAAAAUUAUAUCAGUUUGAAUAGAGAAAGGGAAUACUGUUACGCGAGAGUAGUUUCUCAAGAACAAGGAAACAUAAUUGCGCGUAAUGUACUCUAUGAUUCAUUAAACACCUGACUUAUAGACAUGAGAAAACCAUGUACUGCAGUAUUAUUGUACGUAUUAUACGAUAACUUUGAAGAUUCGAUGUAGUUUCUAAGUUAUCCUAUUUUACAGUUGCUGAAUUCUAUGUAAGAUAGCAGCUUCACUUUGUUUUUGUUAAAUAGUAUAAUUAUAUUGGUUAAUUAUGACAGUGUUGAAAAAGUUCA